UUCUGGCUCAGGAUGAACGCUGGCGGCGUGCUUAACACAUGCAAGUCGAACGAAGCCAAAAGGAAGCUUGCUUCUUGAAGCUUAGUGGCGGACGGGUGGAGUAACGCGUGAGGAACCUGCCCUUCAGUGGGGAAUAACAGCCGGAAACGACUGCUAAUACCGCAUAACGUCGAAGUACCGCAUGACAUUUCGACCAAAGGAUUUAUUCGCUGAAGGAUGGCCUCGCGUCCGAUUAGGCAGUUGGUGAGGUAACGGCCCACCAAACCUACGAUCGGUAGCCGAACUGAGAGGUUGAUCGGCCACAUUGGGACUGAGACACGGCCCAGACUCCUACGGGAGGCAGCAGUGGGGAAUAUUGGGCAAUGGGCGAAAGCCUGAACCCCCAGCAACGCCGCGUGAAGGAAGACGGUCUUCGGAUUGUAAACUUCUUUGAUUGGGGAAGAACACAAUGACCUACCCAAAGAACAAGUCACGGCUAACUACGUGCCAGCAGCAGC
rnacentral:rRNA from 1 species